GAAACUCUGGUGGAGGCUCGUAGAUGUGCUGACGUGCAAAUCGCUUUUCGGACUUGGGUAUAGGGGCGAAAGACUAAUCGAACUAUCUAGUAGCUGGUUCCUGCCGAAGUUUCCCUCAGGAUAGCAGAAACUCACAUCAGUUCUAUGAGGUAAAGCGAAUGAUUAGAGGCCUUGGGGUUGAAACAACCUUAACCUAUUCUCAAACUUUAAAUAUGUAGGAAGUCCUUGCUUCUUAAUUGAGCGAGGACAUGCGAAUGAGAGUUUCUAGUGGGCCAUUUUUGGUAAGCAGAACUGGCGAUG
rnacentral:rRNA from 14 species